rnacentral:rRNA from 1 species
CUAGCGUUGCUCGGAAUUACUGGGCGUAAAGCGCACGUAGGCGGGUUGUUAAGUCGGGGGUGAAAGCCUGUGGCUCAACCACAGAAUUGCCUUCGAUACUGUUUGGCUUGAGACCGGAAGAGGUUAGUGGAACUGCGAGUGUAGAGGUGAAAUUCGUAGAUAUUCGCAAGAACACCAGUGGCGAAGGCGGCUGACUGGUCCGGUUCUGACGCUGAGGCGCGAAAGCGUGGGGAGCAAACAGG